GAAGAAGGACUCAAGGAUAAGAGACAACCUGCAUUCUGAAGAGAAAAGAAAAACACAUCAGAGCAGAAAUGACACCAUGUUCUACAAUGCUUCUCAUUAAAAAUGAAAAGAAGAAGAAGGAGGAGAAGAAGAAGAAGAAGAAGAAGCCAAGUACCUGUGAGAAAUAAGAAAUGCUAUGAAAUGAGACGGAUUAGGAGGGAGCCAUUGAGGUUGUGUCCUGGAUGAACACUAUGGGGAGAAGAGAAACAAUAACAGAAGAAGUUUCUGCCUCUACAACAGUCUUUGCCGUGACCCGGAUUUGAACCGGGGUUGCUGCGGCCACAACGCAGAGUACUAACCUCUAUACGAUCACGGCUGCUUGACACUGUGCCUGUUAUAUCAAAAAGAGACAAUUACGUGGGGAUGAAGCAAGAGAAACGUGACAAAGAGAAGAAGAAAUAGAACCAAAGGACGAAAAGGAGGUCACAAGGGAAAAUAU